CAGCCAUCAUUUAAAGAAAGCGUAAUAGCUCACUGGUCGAGUCGGCCUGCGCGGAAGAUGUAACGGGGCUAAACCAUGCACCGAAGCUGCGGCAGCGACGCUUAUGCGUUGUUGGGUAGGGGAGCGUUCUGUAAGCCUGUGAAGGUGUGCUGUGAGGCAUGCUGGAGGUAUCAGAAGUGCGAAUGCUGACAUAAGUAACGAUAAAG
rnacentral:rRNA from 1 species